UCCGCGAGCGCGUGCUUGUGCGCGUUUUCCUUGAGGGUUAUUUAAGGUAAACAGGGAAACAGAGCGUGUCUCGGGGAUCAAAAUGAUAUCAAGAUUACCAUGGUUACGCGGAAUGUUUUGCUGCAGGAGCGAUUGUUGUUCGGGGCAUUUGAGGGAAAUGGCGACUUUCGCAUCAUGUUGUCAAAAUGCAACAACUUCGGCUUGUAUAGGAUUCUUUCUACAGUGUUAUUUUCAUUUUGUUUGUGAAUCCAAUACAAGUCAAGAUACCUAUUAAAAAUCGUAUGUUUUUUGUUUUUGACAAAAUGUGCUAGAAAAGAUAAUAUUAUACCUUUUACAAAGGCAUGCACGCAAUAAAAUAUUCGAUGUUGGAAAGUAUAUGCGAAAGACACAGUUAGGCUGUUGGCAGUUGAAGAGGAAAACAAAAAUGCAAUAUAUACAGCUCAGGACCUUAAGCGAUUAGAUUCCAAGGUAAGAAAGGUUUUACAUAUCUCUUGUAUUUUUUGUAAUCGAGUUUCUGAUUUAUCAUGGUCUUUUAUUCAAUAUAUAUCUUCAUAUUAUGAACUGAGCCCAUCUUGAUCGUGCUAUACACUGGUUUAUUCUUGUCAUAAUGAUAAAUUUAUAUUCGCGCACAAUUUUUGUCUACCACAGUACUUAUUGAACUUGAAGCUCACAAUUGGGUUGGCUUUAAAUAGUAUACAGUUUAUAGUUUAAUAAUUAAAAAUAGAUAUGCUAUAAGUGAUAUAAAACAAACUAUUAUCUAGUCUAAUGGGUUAGCAUAUUUGCAAAAUUGUAAAGCACCUUAACACUUAGAAGUGUUAAGGUGCUUUACAAUUUUGCAAAUAUGCUAACCCAUUAGACUAGAUAAUAGUUUGUUUUAAAAGUGUUAAGGUGCUUUACAAUUUUGCAAAUAUGCUAACCCAUUAGACUAGAUAAUAGUUUGUUUUAUAUCACUUAUAGCAUAUCUAUUUUUAAUUAUUAAACUAUAAACUGUAUACUAUUUAAAGCCAACCCAAUUGUGAGCUUCAAGUUCAAUAAAUACUGUGGUAGACAAAAUUAAUAAACUCCCGGAAAGUAGCAUGGUAUAUGAAAGGUACAUCCCGACUGCUAGUUGCUCACACACUUUGAAUAUUAUUGUGUCCUCUGGCUGGAAUCGGCCCUGCAAUCCUGGUGCAAUUGCAGCAUUCUAACCAUCAAAACUGAGCUACAGAGUCCAGUUGUCAAGCUGGAAUUCAUGUGUGUAUACUUGGGUACUGCUGUGUUAGUAUCGCUAAAUACCAAAAUUGAAACCUAUAACCUUUAAAACAUAUUAAUAUUUACUGAUACAUUGACAAGGCAGUAACCAGUAUAUAUACUUGUGGUUAGAGCUCGACAUUUGGACUCUGUACUGUAGCUCAGUUGUUUAGGACACUAGGCCUAUAUAUUAUUCUAAGAGAUUCUGUUGGCAUCCCACUCAUUAUAAUAGUUGAAGGGUCUUGGACAUGGAAAUUGUCGAGUGGAAAUUUAUAGACACUUAUUAUUCCAAAACAAGGAACAGCUGUGAAAAAAAGCAACUGUAGGUCCCUGGCCGGAAUUAGACCUACGAUUCCAGUGCAGCACUCUAACCAACAGAGGCCAGUUGUCGAGCUCUCUUAUGGGUUAGGGUCAUGGCAGUACCUUUUUAGUAUUAUAUAUGUAUAUAGUACCUUAAUUAGUAUAUAUGUAAUAUACAGUAAUGCAUGAACAGGCCUUAGUCCAGCACUGCAGCAUGGCUGCAGGUUCAAUUCCUGCCUGUGACCUAUAGUUGCUUUUCUCACAGUCAUUCCUGAUUAGGUCUAAUAAAUGUUUAUAAAGUUCCACUCAAUAAUUUUGAUGUAAAAGUCUAAGACCUCUCACAUAUCAAUCUAACUAACUAAUGAUUAAACCUACCUUUUAAUUUUCUUUUCCUACAGCUAAUGAUUUAGAUUCAAAAAUUCAAUAGCAAGGAUGAAAGUGGUUUUAAUAGCAAACAACCAAGAAUUGUUCAUGUGACAAGAGCAGCAAAUUGUAGCCAGUCUAACAGUAACUGUUUAACGUGCACAGUCUGUCGAUCCUGGUGAUCAUGAGGAUUUAUCUCAAGUGGCAAAAUUAAUCGACAAAUAGUUUUAGUCACAAAACACAGGAGUUUAAAGAUUCCCAGUAAAGUGCUAAGUGUAUUUAUUAUGCCACACACAGUGCAUGGUAGUAACAUAGAACUAUCUUCAUUUGAAGCUUUGUUUGGUAGCAGGGGCAAAACUACCCCCUUUUAAUUUGGGGUGUCUGCCAGAAUUGCCCUGCCCAAACCGAUGAUGCCCUGCAGCGAAUUUUCAUUUCUGGCCACUGUUUCCCCCAAAAUGCUGGCGAACAGAGGUGGGUGGGUGGGGAGGGGGUGGAAAAUUUUUCUGGACCCCCCCCUAACUCAAGUUUCGCCCCUGUUUGGUAGGGAUGCAACUACCUGAAAAAUACAAGGACAAUGUUUCGAGCGAAGGCCCUUCGUCGGGAAGUUUGUUGCGGGGUCUGGAAAAUUACAUGAGCUUUUAUGAUCAUGUGACAAAAAUUAAACCAAUCAGAUGCAUUUAGUCAUAACAAAGUAUAUACAAAAAAUAUUAAUAACAAUAUAGAAUAUAUUAAUACAAUUAUACAGAAAACUACAUAUACAUCUACAAAUUAACAUAUAUCAACACUAUGUUGUUAUUAUUUAAAGUUGCAUCUCUCACUUUGUAUAGAUGUUCUUAUUCUGGGUUAGAUAUAUUAUGCUAAUUUGUAUAUAGUAUUAUUUUUACCUAACCAUAUCAUAACCUAUGUAAACCAUUGUAUUUCUUUAAAAAAAACAAGAUAUCAAUUGAUGUCCACAUCAUUAUAUUUGUGUUGUAUGCAAUGAUUUUUGCCUGCAGAUUGAUUGAGAUAAGAAAAUAAAAAGCUGAAUGUGCAAAUAAUUACUUCUGGCAAAAUGUAUUGCUUUGAAUCCCUUGUCUGUAGGUCGACAAUAAAUGCAUGCAGUGCCAGUCAAAUGGUCAUGAAAGUGGACAACUUUUUCAAACAGAUUUUUCUUCCUGUGUGAGUAAACCGUAGUACCCAGAGAAAACCUACAACACUUGGUUCAGGGUUGACUCAUUUCAAAAUUCCAACACCAAUAUUGCAAAGAGAAAUUAUAUUUUUAAUUUUCACUUCACUAAAAUAUUUGAGUUGUUUCCUUUGCUAUCUGGGUAUUUAUAGAAAACCAGUCAUCAGAGAAACAUACUCUGACAUCAUGAAAUGGACAACUAUUUGGCAAUUCCCAUUACUUGUUGGUCAUUGCCACAGUAACAGUAUAAAUACAUGUAAUAAUGGUACAUACAUGCUGAUAAUUUUGGAGACAUAGGUAGAAAUGUUAUGCAUGGGCAUUUUAAGAAUUACCAAUUAUCUUAACAAUGUUUUGAUAUGUUUGCAACAGCUGUGAAGAGUCAUUGGGUAUAAAGGGACCAAGGGUGACAAUCCAUCACAGAAAGGAAGGGAUGGAGGCAGCCAAUACACUAUUUAUCAGCUAUUUAGCUCUUAUAAUAAUUAAUAAUGUCAUAAUGUGAAUGCUGAGAGAGUUUGAGAGAAUACAUCUUCACAACUGUUACAAUAUACCUGACUAUACUUUAUAGUCAUUAUAAUAUUUCAGACAUUACUAGCAAACAUGCCGAGGAAAUCCAUUGACAUUCCACUCUCCAAUCCAUAUAUACACUGACACUGUAGUUGAAAAACUUUGCCCAAAGUAGCCAGGCACAACAUCCUUGGACAACCCAGAUAAUAAAGCAAAUAACUCCUUGACAAAGCGCAUUAAAGUAAAAUAAAUAACAAUAGCCUUCUUGACAUCACAGUGAAAACAAAAUGGUUCAACAAAUCCGUACAAACCCCGAACAUUUCCCACGAUUAUUGAAAACAUGAUAAACUGAGUAAAUAAAUAUGGGUUUCUGAUACUCGUUUUGCUCCCUAUCCGCCGUCGAAUUCCUGCCAGCCACAGCCGAGCUUCCCUUUGUAGUAUUGGCGAUGGAUUUAUGGAAUUAGUCAUCUUCCGUGGCACAUUUAAUCCAGAGAAUCAUGAGCUUCCAGUAAAGUUUCAACUUGCUCGGCACAUUCAUCCACGAAAAACGCGUCGUUUUGGCAGCUUUUCUCCCGAGUGCAGCUACCAAGGGCCUCCAUUACUUUCUGAAAAUAAUCUACCGGCCGUUCGACACAGUUGUCGUUCAAAAUAUCUUGAUUUAAGACCUCGUCAAGACUAAAAUUGCCAUUUCGAACGGCCGCCAUCUU
rnacentral:lncRNA from 1 species